rnacentral:rRNA from 1 species
GACGAACGCUGGCGGCGUGCCUAAUACAUGCAAGUAGAACGCUGAAGAGAGGAGCUUGCUCUUCUUGGAUGAGUUGCGAACGGGUGAGUAACGCGUAGGUAACCUGCCUGGUAGCGGGGGAUAACUAUUGGAAACGAUAGCUAAUACCGCAUAAUAGUAGAUGUUGCAUGACAUUUGCUUAAAAGGUGCAAUUGCAACACUACCAGAUGGACCUGCGUUGUAUUAGCUAGUUGGUGAGGUAACGGCUCACCAAGGCAACGAUACAUAGCCGACCUGAGAGGGUGAUCGGCCACACUGGGACUGAGACACGGCCCAGACUCCUACGGGAGGCAGCAGUGGGGAAUCUUCGGCAAUGGACGGAAGUCUGACCGAGCAACGCCGCGUGAGUGAAGAAGGUUUUCGGAUCGUAAAGCUCUGUUGUAAGAGAAGAACGAGUGUGAGAGUGGAAAGUUCACACUGUGACGGUAUCUUACCAGAAAGGGACGGCUAACUACGUG